GACGAACGCUGGCGGCGUGCUUAACACAUGCAAGUCGAACGGAAAGGCCCUGCUUUUGUGGGGUGCUCGAGUGGCGAACGGGUGAGUAACACGUGAGUAACCUGCCCUUGACUUUGGGAUAACUUCAGGAAACUGGGGCUAAUACCGGAUAGGAGCUCCUGCUGCAUGGUGGGGGUUGGAAGGUUUCGGCGGUUGGGGAUGGACUCGCGGCUUAUCAGCUUGUUGGUGGGUUAGUGGCUUACCAAGGCUUUGACGGGUAGCCGGCCUGAGAGGGUGACCGGCCACAUUGGGACUGAGAUACGGCCCAGACUCCUACGGGAGGCAGCAGUGGGGAAUAUUGCACAAUGGGCGGAAGCCUGAUGCAGCAACGCCGCGUGCGGGAUGACGGCCUUCGGGUUGUAAACCGCUUUCGCCUGUGACGAAGCGUGAGUGACGGUAAUGGGUAAAGAAGCACCGGCUAACUACGUG
rnacentral:rRNA from 1 species